UACGGGGGGGGCAAGCGUUGUUCGGAAUUACUGGGCGUAAAGGGCUCGUAGGCGGCCAACUAAGUCAGACGUGAAAUCCCUCGGCUUAACCGGGGAACUGCGUCUGAUACUGGAUGGCUAGAGGUUGGGAGAGGGAUGCGGAAUUCCAGGUGUAGCGGUGAAAUGCGUAGAUAUCAGGAGGAACACCGGUGGCGAAGGCGGAUCUCUGGGCCGUAACUGACGCUGAGGAGCGAAAGCAUGGGGAGCGAACAGG
rnacentral:rRNA from 1 species